rnacentral:rRNA from 1 species
UUACCAUGCAGUCGAACGGCAGCACGGGGGCAACCCUGGUGGCGAGUGGCGAACGGGUGAGUAAUACAUCGGAACGUGUCCUGUAGUGGGGGAUAGCCCGGCGAAAGCCGGAUUAAUACCGCAUACGCUCUACGGAGGAAAGGGGGGGAUCGCAAGACCUCUCGCUACAGGGGCGGCCGAUGGCAGAUUAGCUAGUUGGUGGGGUAAAGGCCUACCAAGGCGACGAUCUGUAGCUGGUCUGAGAGGACGACCAGCCACACUGGGACUGAGACACGGCCCAGACUCCUACGGGAGGCAGCAGUGGGGAAUUUUGGACAAUGGGCGCAAGCCUGAUCCAGCAAUGCCGCGUGUGUGAAGAAGGCCUUCGGGUUGUAAAGCACUUUUGUCCGGAAAGAAAACUUCUGCCCUAAUACGGCGGGAGGAUGACGGUACCGGAAGAAUAAGCACCGGCUAACUACGUGCCAGCAGCCGCGGUAAUACGUAGGGUGCAAGCGUUAAUCGGAAUUACUGGGCGUAAAGCGUGCGCAGGCGGUCCGCUAAGACAGAUGUGAAAUCCCCGGGCUUAACCUGGGAACUGCAUUUGUGACUGGCGGGCUAGAGUAUGGCAGAGGGGGGUAGAAUUCCACGUGUAGCAGUGAAAUGCGUAGAGAUGUGGAGGAAUACCGAUGGCGAAGGCAGCCCCCUGGGCCAAUACUGACGCUCAUGCACGAAAGCGUGGGGAGCAACAGGAUUAGAUACCCUGGUAGUCCACGCCCUAAACGAUGUCAACUAGUUGUUGGGUCUUCAUUGACUUAGUAACGUAGCUAACGCGUGAAGUUGACCGCCUGGGGAGUACGGUCGCAAGAUAAACC